rnacentral:lncRNA from 1 species
GUCGAAUCAGAGAUGCAGCUGCUGGCCUACACCAUAGCCAUGGCAACGCCAGAUCCAAGCCGCAUAUGUGACCUACACCACAGCUCACGGCAACACUGGAUUCUUAACCACACUGAGCAAGGCCAAGGACGGAACGUGAAUCCUCAUGGAUACUGGUCAGGUUCUUAACCCAAAGAGCCACAACGGGAACUCCUCAGGCAUUUAAUAUAGACUUUACAGCAGAAAGAAGUAUCACAGAGAAUAUCCCAGUUUUCUGUGAUGAAAGGAUAACAUGACGCCUAUUUUGCAGGCGGGGAAACUGAGGCCCAGACCAGUUGGACCCUCCAGCAGUCGAGACACAGGCAGGACCGAAGAGUCAAAUCAACCUUGCUGAGAAGUGCAUCAAGUUUAAAACCAGACCUUCGAAAGGACGUCCUGCAGUUUUAAACAUGAUGCAAAAUAUAAACAAAUUACUGCACUGGACACCGCCCAGCUGCGGGGAAUCCAAAAGUCAACGGCAGGGAACAAGACAUCACCGCCGGAUGCUGUGUUUCACCAAGUCAGAGAAGCAAGGGACAGCUCGCUCCGUAGGGAGACCGAGCGGUGGGGUCAUGGCCAAACCCAGGGCUGGAGAUGGGCCUGGGGCCGGGAGGGUGUUUCCUGUUGCUGCUGUAAUGGUCUUCAUGAACGAAGUGGCUUAAAACAACACAAGUUUAAUUUUUGUUGUUUUAUUUGAAAACAGAUUUAUUGAGAUAUGAUUAACCCAGCAUACGGUUCACCCAUUGAAGGUAUACAAUUCAGAGGUUUUUCGUGUAUUCACAGAUAUGGAUAAUCAUCACCAUAGCCAAAGAUAAAACAUUUUUC